GAGGAAGAAAGAGUCAGUGCUCUGAGGAGCUGGCCAUGAGGAACACUAAAAAGGUGUGGCACUUUUGUCAUAAGGAGACAACAGUAUGGAACCCCUGUAAUAAGAUGCUGCUGUGGUGUGGACCAUGGAAGUUCACUUUGAGCUGCUCAAUAGUGGAAGCUCCUGGCAAAGUGAAGCAGCUUUGGUGAGCUGGGAUUGAUGACCAGGAGUGCUCCAGCCUGGCCAGGCUGCCUUGCUGGUCUUCAGAUCUCUCUGGAAGCUUCAGACCAAACUGGACGUCCACCCAAACUCCAGAGAAAUCUCUUGCCCCUUGGUGCUCAUGGCUGGCUGGGAUUUCUGCCCAUACCUCAGCUUUGUGGGUAAAUGGCAAUGAAAGGUGGAUAUCUAACACCAGG